rnacentral:piRNA from 1 species
UACCAAGGAGGCCAGAAUGCAGUUUUAAAU